GACAGGUUCCUUUCGUGCCACAUUCCUGCAUUCAUAAGCAGGUUUCCAGUGGAACCUUAGCUUCAGCAAUGAGCAACAAAAGGACUUUCCACCAUGUUACAAUCUUUCUAAGUAAUCAAGCUUUACAGAAAUGGCUUUGCAGAUUCUGCCAUGGUGAGCCCCAGAUUGACCAGAAACGUCAUCGAACUCUUGUGUAAGGGAAAAAGCAAAAGAACCCUACUGUCUAAAAUGGUGACUUUGCUGAUCAGAGCUCGUAGCUCCCUUGGGAGCUUCCCAGGCCUCAGGUGAGCUGCUGCUGUUAGCUUCCUGCCUUAACAUGGUCUCCUCCCAUCGCGCCGGCGUAAUUGUGCUCUGCGGCAGAGUGGCAGAGUGGAAUUAAGACUGUGAAUGUUAGCUGCUUUUUGAGAACGUGAGUGAAUAACAGACACACAGCUGUGAUUUAGGCAGCGUCAGGGGAGACCUUCCGUAAAACCUGACCACUCGCUUCCGUGCGCGCUUCGCAGCUUAUCAUUUCAGCACCACGGACAGAGGAAGCUGAGAAACCUUGGAUGCUGCUUUUGGCUAACCAGCUGGCCAACUUCCUGGGGGAGCUGGGCGGAUCGCCCUGACCAAGGGCCUUUCUAGGGCUCUUCAGGAACGGAUGCUAUGGAAACCAAGCGGGGAGAUGUCAUCGUCCGCAGAGUUCUCAGGAGGAAAGCUGCAUUUGGCUCUGCAAGGGAGGAGGGCUUUAUUAAACAUUGACAAGUUACUCUGCUUGGCCACCCGUUGCCCAGCAUGUGCAUACCAGCUCUGACAGCAGGGUGAGGAAGCAACACUGCAGUAGCUUCUACUGUAGGUGUGUGGUAUACAGGUGAACACCUGGUUCCCCUCUGAUAUAAAGCAUAUGUUUAUGGGAUGCAUACUAAUGUUGCUUGUGUGUUUGAUUCAACCCCUAAGAUGAACAAGAAAAGAUGCAGAGAGAGAAAUGGAAGAAGACAAAAAAAAAAAAAAAAAAAGGUGGGUCAGAGGAGGAGAGACAGAGAGAAAAUAAAAUGACAGCUGUAGCAUUAGUGCACUUUCCAAAUAAAGGACAGGCAGUCUAAUAUGAAUUCUUUGGAAUUCUAGGCUUCUUUAAUUAACUAAUGCACAACACAAUACUGAAUUAUUUCUAAUCACAGGUAAAAUUUGUACCUAUAACUAAGCUUGUUAGUAAAGAGUAAUUGAUAAUGUCUUAAAAAUGUAUUUCAAUAUAUUUACACUCCACUUAAAUCUUAUUUUUCCCCCUUAUGACACCUUUUCCCAAGAGGGAGGUUAUUUUUGCUGUUGUUGCUUGUUUGCUUUGAGAGAUGGUCACACAAGGUUUUCCAUCUUAGUUGUAUAUAACAUCAGUGAACUUAUUUCAUUAAGCAAAACAAUUAGAUUGUGCUGAAUUAAUGUGAAUUAUUAAUGCCUUUCACAUGGACCAUAAUCUUCUUAGAUGCAGUACAGGCAAGUGCUUAUGAAACAGACUGGCCUUGAGCUACAUCCCCAAGGUUAAACCUUGGAUGCUAGCUAAACCAACCGGGGGAGUGGGUUUUACAUAGGGCCUAGUGGAUUACAUCCCAGAGGUACAUCCUAAAUCAAAUAAGAAUGUUCUCUGACUAUUUCAAAUGAUAUGUGGGAAAAAUUUCCUAAAAUAGAGAGAUGAAAAAAAAUCACAAAUAGCUAAAGCCUUUUUGCAAUUGUUAAAUCCAGUGCCUAUAAGAUUGUAUUUUAUUAGGAAGUAUGCUUGAGCAGGACUGCCAAGAGCAUAUUUCUAUUAUUUUGGGACAUAUGCAUUAUGUGAAUGUUAUAUAUUAUAUUAAAGAUAUAUUUUAAAAACCAGGAAGCCAUCUUCAAAAAUAUCCCUGGAAAGCCACAAAAUUAUGUACUUCCAUAGGAGAUAUGGUAUAAAGGAAAAACUUAUCAAAUUGUUUCAUCACAAAAUUUCAAGCCCCUUAGGAGUUGUUUCACAAGGGCAUUUGUUUAUUGGUUAUUUUAUUUAUUUAAAUUUCAAAUGUUAUCUCCCUUCCAAA